UCCAGAACUCACAUUAGGUAGUGUUUUUUCUUGUAUACAGCCAGAGUGCAGACAGAGAUUCCGGCUACAAGCAGCAGCAGUCCGAUGGCGAUGCCAACAUACACAGCGUCUACAAGAAGAAGAUCCGGUCCCUAGCGUCCAAUCAAAAUUAUCGGCCAAGGAGCUCCUCCAGCCACAGCGCCCGUUCUCAAAGGAGCAGGAAGUCCCACAAUCCUUUUCAUCAGUGCCAUCACCACAGUCAUCAGUGAAGUCACAGCUCUGCCCAGGAGUGAAACAUCUGCCAUUUUCACAAGGGAGCAAACCUGAAGGACAGGAGCCUGGAAAAAAAGAUAAAUAUAAUGCACAGGACCAGAAGCAAUGAGCCCCAACAAAGGCACAUAGGAAGCCAGGAAGCCAUGGCUCCCAACUGUGAAGCUAGGCUGCCUCACCACCUGAUGUGGAGCAUACUGGUGGAUCAAUUUAAGAGAAAAUUGGUUAAAGCCAAUAAUGUGCAGUUCUUCACCUGUUACUACAGCAUCUGACUGUACUUGCAGAAUUGCAGUACAUAUCUUGUUAUAACUUUGGAGCUCUGCAUUGCCGUGUGUGAUGUGAACUUCAGACCAGAGAUCCAGUGGACCCACUGUCCUGAUAUACAGUAUGUCGGUAUGGUAUACUGCCCCCUGGUGCAAAGAUCCAGAUCAACUUUUUAAUGAAUUUAUACCUCUGGAAUCAGAAGUCUGACGGAUAAAGUGAAGCAAGUUGUCUAAUAAUGGCAACGAAAGGUGUCAUGAUGUGAUCCAUUGUUUGUUGUCGUUCUUGAACUCUUAUAUUUCCAUUUCAGUGUCAAAAAGGAAGAUUAAAUUCAAUUGAUGAUUUGCACCCAUAAAAGGUGUUAAUUCAAUUAUAUGAUUUAGCACUGAGGUCAUAGUUGGUGGUGGUGUGGUGCUGGACUGCAUUAUAUUCAGAGGUGUUUGUAAUAUUCUGCACAUCUCAUGUGUGUAAAUAGAGAAGGGAAACUAAAGUAGAAACACCUCUGAAUGUAAUGUAGUCCACAGUACAACACCAUCUUUAACUAUGACCUCAAUAAUAAAGAUAUGAUUCAUCAUCAAAGACUGAACAUUAUGAGCUUUGUAAAGGUAGAUGGCAGGGCUGUUGAAUUGGACUGCAUUAGAUUAAACAGGUGUACCUAAUAAAGUGUCCACUGAGUGUAGGUGACUGUACGUACAGUAAAUGUUCCUUACAGCUUUCUUCAGACAUGACAGGACAUUUACAGAACAUGCAAAAUGAUAUGGAAGAGGAAGAGAGUUUUUUACCGAAGCGUUCAGUAAUGACCAUCAUGAGCACGAUGGCUAUCUUCCCAUUUCUCCUCUAGUGAACCCAAUACAUUUUCUCAUCCAUUUCAUAGUUCAAUAAGUAAAUAUUUCUGCUGCCUAGUUUAUUAAGUCCGACGGUGCUAAAGCAAAGAAUGGCAUAAUGUUAAAUUUGGACUUAUGUUUCUGACUUGCUCAAAUGCUGUAUGUAAAAUUUUGCAGGAUAUUCUUUAAUUUUUCCAUGCAGAUGGCAUACACACAUACAUAGUAGUCGCUGAAUGUCCUAAACCUAUGUUGACAGCACAUAAUGUUAAAAUAGUUGGCAGAUAUUCUACAAUGUCUUGUUAAAGCCAAGAUAAAAUUCCCAGCCAUGAAAGAACACACGAUGGGGGUGCAUGCAGUGUGUCUCACUACUCCAUCACAUAAUGUGAUAUAAAAUGAAGCGGUGGAGGAAAAUGCCCCUGAGGCGCUUCAGUAUAUAAUUACAGUUCCUGCUGUCUUUGGUCUCAUCAGUAUUACUGUUCGUUCAGUGCAGCCUGCAGCAGCGAAGGGGGCAGUGAGAGCAGACACUCUUCUCCUUCCUGGCUCUCUUCAUGGUGGGAUGAACUGUCAGGGCAGCAGUGUUACUCCCUGUCUUAACCUUCAAGAAAUCCCUCUACGGUCACACAAACUCACAUCCCUUUCUAUUUCCAUCCCACUUUAUUUGCUCUAUUUUUACUUGUAUUGAAAAUGACCCUGUCAUGUUUUGAAAAUAAAAAACACU